GGUUGCGUGGCCCAGUGGUUAAGGCAUCUGCUUUACAUCGUAAUCGCAGAGGAUCGCAGGUUCGAGCCCUGCCGCGAUCA
rfam:Neurospora crassa OR74A linkage group I, whole genome shotgun sequence.